UUUAAGGGGUGCUGCGGCAAGUGCCGUGGCUGAGAUUAUACCCAAGAACCUGAUCCGGAUAAUGCCGGCGUAGGUAGGUAC
rnacentral:ncRNA from 1 species